AUUUCGUCAGUACAUGUUGAUUUAUCUGGAGAAACAAUUGUGUAAAAUGAAUCGAUUUUUGUUAAUUUUAUUUGGAGUGAUUUUCGUUGCUUCCAUAGCCGAGUGUUAUAGAAGUCAUCAUUCCCGUCAUGACAGCAGUAACGAGAUAUUAAUAAUACGAGGCGGUACAAUAAAAUGCCAAGAGGAUGACUCCUCAUCAUCAUCGUCGUCUUCGUCAUCAUCUGAAGAAGGAAACGAUUGUAACAAGAAUCAAAACAGUAAAAGCUCUUCAUCUUCCUCGUCGUCAUCCUCUUCCUCUUCAUCCUCAUCAUCUGAAGAAGACACAAGGGAAUCGCAUCAUGGUCGCAAGAAGGCCAAGCUUUUUAAGUGCAGUACCUGUUAAUGAAGAUGGUCCGCUUCGAUGAUGAACAGCUGAUGACAAUAUAAGAAUUAGGAAUUUAUUAAGAGUCCCCUGUCCCCCUAUAUAGACCCUAAGCAGGCAUGAAGAAGGAAAUACUGGUUUAAGUGUUAAGCUUCAACCAAAUUAUAUUAUGUAUUUUAAAUAAAUUUAUUUCAAUUAUUUUAUAUUUGAAAAGUUAGUAUAGGAGAAGUAGGUUUAAUGUCCAAUUACUAAGAUAAUAAAAGAUAAUAUAUG